AUGCUCAAAGAGAAAAUCAAUUUCUGUAAUGAAACGUUUGUUUGUAAAAACAGGAGGAAGAGCCGGGCGUGGUGGCCUACGCCGGUCAUCUCAGCACUCGAGAGGCUGAUGCAGGAGAAUCGCCGCAAGUCUGAGGCCUGCCUGGGCUACAGAAGGCGACCCUGUCUCAAACGAACAGGAGAAAGAAGAUCUCUCAAGCCAGCUUUCUCCCAGUACUCACCGGAAUGCACCGGAAUCUCCAGGUCCGUGAAGCCGGAGGAUACAGCUCUGGAGUGCAGUAUGCAUCAUAGUGACCAGCCGUUUCUAAGAAACAGAAGCAGCCGGAAGUGGAACAGGAACUAUCACCUGGGCAACUUAAGUACACAGGCUGGGGGCGGGGCGGGGGGGCGGCUCUGCUACACAACCCACCACAACUGAGGAAAAACGGACCUGGCUGUGCGGACCCAGCGCCAGAAAACCCUGCGGGCAGCGAUGACCUCAUUUCCGCUUCCGAGCCGGGCCGGAAGGACAGGGACGCCAGGCUCUGACUCUGGCACCUUGGACCGCUUUCAGGCACAGAAAUUCCAGUUUUCUCCGCUUGGGUGCAGAUGGGCCCCGGGAUGGAGUCAGAGCCCGCGCUGGACGCAGAUGCGGGGCCAAAGGCCAGGGUUAAAUUCGGAGCCGGGCUUGGCUUGAAAUGGGGCCACGCCCACACAUGAUUUCCUGGGUCCUGGAAGCCAAUAGGGAAGGCUGGAGCUGGGGACUCAGGCACUGGGUGUUCACUGGUUUUUGUUUUGUUUUUGUGGUGCUGGGGAUUUCGAUUGUACCCAAGGCUUGCAUGAGCUAUAUACUCUUUUUUUUUUUUUUCUUUCCCCCUUUGGGUCUUGCGAAGUUGCUGGACUCGAGCUUGCAUCCUCCUGUUUCAGCCUGCCAGAGUAUCUCAAAAACUUUCCUACCAAUUUCCCAUCUCUCCCUAUUCCUGAAUCCCUUAAGUGAUUCUCCCCUGGUGAUAAACAUGGCAAUCCAUGGAAUCGUCACAUUUUUAUCUGUUGAAUCUGCCCAGUCUUUAGAUCUUUAUUAACGUUUUCUCUAAUACUGUAGUUCUUUCCUGUAGCCUUUCAACGUGUCCUGUCGCUCCCCUUCUUCUGGUGCUGUCGAUGGAACCAGAGCCUUAUGCAUGCUGGGCAAGUGCUCUGCCACUCAGCUACAUCCCCAGCCCUGGAUAAUUUUGUAAAUAUCUACUUUUUUUCCUCAAAAAUGCAUCUGUUUUCAUUUCUCAGAUCUUACUGUGAGUUCCAGGGCCUCCCAUUGUUGUAAAAUAUCAGUGAUAAUCAGGAAUGAUUCUAAAAAGUUUCCCUGCCAAUGAUUUUUGCAAUGGUUUCCAGGAAGUAGCUUUUGUCGAGUUGUUUUGAAUACUGAAUUAACAACUCACUAUGUCAAGAUUGGUCCUUGAACAUUGUGAUAAUAUUUUUAUGGAGUCCAUAACUACUUUGUUGUUGAAUUUUCAUCGAUUUGUUUUGUAGAGUGGGGGCUCCAACACAGAGCCUCAUACGUGGAAGGCAAAUGCUCCACCACUGACCUCUAUACAAAAUAUUUAGCUUUUAUAUGGCCAAAGGAAUUUAUUUUAAAAAAUAAUUUCUAGAUGUCCUACCUAAUGUGUUAAAAAAUUCCCAUAAACUAUAGAUUACAUAGAAAUUUUCUCAUUUUCCCCUACUGUAUAUUAACAUUUGUAAAGACAUUUACAACUUCCAUCUACCUGGAAUGCAUUUUGCUGUGUGGUUCAGGGUAGUGCCAUUCCUCUACAGAACGGUCAGUUGGGGCUGGGGUUGUCCUUCAGUGGCAGAGCAUUUGCUUUGCAGAUAUGGAGCAUUGUCUUUUGCAUUGCAAAAUUUAUGAACAAAAAUUCACAUUUUUAAAAAAAGGCGGCCAGUUAUUGUAGUACCAUUUCUUAACAAAUUGCCCCUAAUUUCCUGUCUUAAAUUUUCUUCUUUAUUAAACAAUAAACUCCAAUAUAUCGGAAUCAGUGUCUAGACUGUACCAGUAAUACUUAUGUAUGCCAGUAUCAUAUUCUUUUUAUUCCAGUGGUUUUAUGUCAGCUUCAAUAUUUAGCAUUACUUGAUUGUUCUACAUGACUAUACUAUAUGUUUGGUAGACAUUCAGCUUUCAUGUUCCCUCCCAUGUAAGUACCACCAUGAUUUUCACUACUGUUUCAUGUUGGUCCAGCUUUACUGAGAUAUAGUUCACACAAAACACAGUUCGCCCCCAGUUAUUACAUUUUGUGUCAUGCAACCAUCAUAAUUUUAUAAGCUUUUCUUAACCCCAAAAGAACACUGUGGAUGUCAAAACUCUCCAUACCUCCUCCUUUAAUCUCGAGGGAACCAUAAAUCUAUAUCUCUACAAAUUUACCUUUUGCAGACAUGUCACAUGAAUAAAAUCAGACAGUGUUUUGUGAGUAGCCUUUUCCACUUAGCAUGUUUUUCAGAGUUCAUUUGUGUUGUAACGUGUCUUCCCUUUUUAUGGCUAAACGAUAAUAUUUUACAAAUUAUACCAUGUUUUAUUAUUUAUUCAUCAGUACGUGAACAUCUUGGUUGUCUUAAUUUUUGAGAUAUUAUGAGUGAUUACAAAAAUUCACAUAUUAGGGGAGGAAAGAAAGGGAAAAGAUUUGAAGGAGGAAAAAAAAGAAUUGAAAAAAAUGAGGAAAAAGGUAGAAACUGGUAGAAAUUUGACUUGCCGGUCUGGUCCUGGUUGUAUCCACCUUUGGCUAGCCACAUCCCUACUCAAGAAACCUUCCCAGUGGCGAGCAACAGGAUGAGAUUCUGACAUAACUUUCAGUAUCCCCCACUAGGUAAUGACUGUAGAGCAUUACGUGUAAAACUUUCGAUUGAUAAUUUAGUAUAAUUGUGGAUGGUUUCUGAUUUUGUUUUUAGUUCUGUGGGUUGUGUAAAAUAAUUCAAAAGUAUAUUUCUAACGAUGAGAUACUAAGUAGUAUCACAUCAUUGUCACUUUAUUGAAUGUGUACAACAAUCCCAUGAAGUUUCUAAUGCCAGCCUUGUAUAGCUUCAGGUGCUACACUUAAAACUCAUCUGUUAUCACAAAAAAAGAAAUAGAAAUGGAGCUUUUGUAAAACAGUAGGGAAAGUAUUGGAAGGAAAGAAGGGGAAAGGGACAAAAAGAAAUUAAUGUGUUAUGUACAUGUACAAAUCCCCCCCAUAACAAAUGUGGUCAUUACGUACUGCAAACAUACUAAUAAAAAUAAAGUAAAAAUGCACAUCUCUUUUUACAUACAAGUUUUUAUUUAUCUUGAGUAUAUACGUAGCAGUCUGAAAUUCCUGGGUCAAAGUAACUAUUGGCAAGGCAUGUUAGUAUACACUUGUCAUCCCCGCACUCCAGAGGCUAAAGCAGGAGGACCACUUAAGUUUGAGGUCAGCCUAGGCAACACAGUGAAUUCAGCUCUAACCUGAACUAGUGCAAGCCUGUCUCAGAAAACCAAAAAAUAAAGUAACUAUAUAUUUAAAGACUUCAAAAACUACAGAUUUGGUUACAAAGACACUGCACCAUUUAACAUUCUCAACAUAAAAAUAUGAGUGUUCAAAUUUCUCCACUUCCUUGCCAGCAUUCAUUACACUCUUAUUUUAACCAACCUUGAGGUGGAAAAUGAUGUCUCAUUAUGGUUGUCACUUUUUUAUUUUUGAGAUGGGCUCUUUCUGUGUUGCCUAGGCUCACCUGGUACUUGCAGCUCUCCUGCCUCAGCCUUUGGAAUAGCUGGGAUUCCUGAUAGGCACCACCAUGCUCAUUUGAAGUACAAAAGAUGGUAAUUUUGCUGAGAUGCAAUCCACUUUAUUUUUCCUUUGUUUACAAUUUGGUUUUGGUAUUAUACCUCAGAAAAUAUUUC
ensembl:lincRNA